GGUUUAAUUCGAAGCAACGCGAAGAACCUUACCAGGUCUUGACAUCCUCUGAUACCCCUAGAGAUAGGGCAUUCCCUUCGGGGACAGAGUGACAGGUGGUGCAUGGUUGUCGUCAGCUCGUGUCGUGAGAUGUUGGGUUAAGUCCCGCAACGAGCGCAACCCUUGAUCUUAGUUGCCAGCAUUCAGUUGGGCACUCUAAGGUGACUGCCGGUGACAAGCCGGAGGAAGGUGGGGAUGACGUCAAAUCAUCAUGCCCCUUAUGACCUGGGCUACACACGUGCUACAAUGGAUGGUACAAAGGGCCGCGAAACCGCGAGGUCAAGCAAAUCCCAUAAAACCAUUCUCAGUUCGGAUUGUAGGCUGCAACUCGCCUACAUGAAGCCGGAAUCGCUAGUAAUCGUGGAUCAGCAUGCCACGGUGAAUACGUUCCCGGGUCUUGUACACACCGCCCGUCACACCACGAGAGUUUGUAACACCCGAAGUCGGUGAGGUAACCUUUUAGGAGCCAGCCGCCGAAGGUGGGACGAAUGAUUGGGGUGAAGUCGUAACAAGGUAACCGU
rnacentral:rRNA from 1 species